rnacentral:rRNA from 1 species
GACAGGGCGUUUUGUCCAAUGUGUGGACAUGAUAAUGAAACCCUAUACCAUGCACUACUUGCAUGUGACCACGCGAAGCUUUUCUGGAGAAAGGCCACUGACUAUUUUGAUCUCAAGGUCCCGCAUCUACAUCCAGUAACUUGGUCACGGGACAUACUUGAUACUUCCUUUCUAAGAAAGGAUAGGGCAGCAGUGGCAGUGUCAGUCAUGUGGGCGAUAUGGAGCAGUAGAAAUAAAUAUGCCCACGAUGAAGUGAAGUACCAGCCAGGGAAAUCAAUGAUUUUGAUCUAGGAGCUCAUUCAGGGACUGUAUAUGCCAAGUCAGAAGAGGGAUGAGGGGAGGAAUGAGAAGGCUAAAUGGAAACCGUGGAGGAAGGGUGGGUUAAGAUUAACACAGAUGCUGCCAUUGACAACAUAG